GGGGCUUACUGUUUUUAACAUUUUUAAUUUCUUUUCAAGAUAGCAUGAUUAACUAACAAGCUAUUUAAGGAAAGUAAAUAAUUUAAGGAAAAAGGGAAUGCAGAAAGGAUAAAUAUGUAUAACUAUCAAUUUUACCUUUCAGCGAGGGUUCAAUGUUUUAAGUCUUCUGAACAAGACUUCUCACCGUUUUCAUUCUUUAGGUGCGUCAUUUGAUUCAGGUGCGGACCUUGAUGUCUGCACCUCUUGAUACGGUGUCACCCAUGUUCUUCGUUUGCCUAGUAGUUUGAAGUGCGGCAUUGGCAUUAUCUUGCUCAGUGUGUUUGUGCUCGUAGAUCCAGGUCCUUCACUUGGUGGAGUCUGGGAGUUGUAAAACUCCACCAUGUUUUGCUCCAAGUGUACCUGCUCAUAGAGAUAAGGCAGAGAUCAAGUGCAUGGGUCCUGUUGGUAGAAAACACCAAU
rnacentral:lncRNA from 1 species